CGAGAAAGCCCGCAAGGGUGAGUAAAGCGGCGCACGGGUGAGUAACACGUGGGUAAUCUGCCCUAGAGUCCGGAAUAACUCGCCGAAAGGCGUGCUAAUGCCGGAUGAGACCACGGGAGCCUCGGCUCCUGCGGGAAAAGGUGGCCUCUGUACACAAGCUAUCGCUCUAGGAUGAGCCCGCGGCCCAUCAGCUCGUUGGCGGGGUAAUGGCCCACCAAGGCUACGACGGGUAGCUGGUCUGAGAGGACGAUCAGCCACACUGGAACUGAGACACGGUCCAGACUCCUACGGGAGGCAGCAGUGGGGAAUCUUGCGCAAUGGGCGAAAGCCUGACGCAGCAACGCCGCGUGUGUGAUGAAGGUCUUCGGAUCGUAAAGCACUGUCGCGAGGGACG
rnacentral:rRNA from 1 species